rnacentral:lncRNA from 1 species
GAAUUACCCCAUUGAUUUGGAAGCUAUUAGAAGAGAAUUCGACUAUAAAGGAGCCCUAGGGUAAGUGAUGAACUAAGCUUGAUUUUUAGCUGUGAAUAAUGGCUAGUAAUUCAGAUUAUGAGCUAUUUUAUUGUUGAGGAUGUUCAUUCAUUUUAUAGUGAUUAAGAUAGUGAACAUAGAUAGCCAUUUAAAGUGACAAUUGAAAGCUAGUUAAAAGAUAGCUUUUAGGGUUUAUAGUAUGUGAAUUAACAUAAUGGUGAUGUUAAUGUGAUGGUAGAUUCCAAGGAAGCCCCAUCAUCCCAUUUGGACAAUUAGGGAAAAUUAGAGUCAGUGAAAGGCUCAACAAUAUACCGGUGAGUGGACUUGCAUUUCAAACUUGUUUUGGGGAAUAUGAAUGAUUUUGUCCAACUUGUCUUUGAAAAUGUACCUUGGGAACAAGCCUUUGAUGAAGUAAAUUUAUAUUGUGAAAAUGUGCUAUACAAUGGGUUAUGUGUAAUCAAAAUAUGAUAAUAUGCAUGAUAUGCAUUAGGUGCUUAUUUGUAUGUUGAUGUGGACUCGGCUAUGUACGAGUAGGAGUGCACAUAAGCCAUUGUUGACCCGGCUAUGUGCGAGUGGGAGUGCGCAUAAGCCGUUGCAUAUGAGAUGAUGAUGAUGGGAGGGUGUACAUGAUAAUUGAUAUAUAUAUAUAUAUACAUAUAUGGUAUAUGGUUGUAAUGCAAAAAUGUGAGCAUUUGAUUUGUUGAAAUUUGGGAGUUUGCAUGUGUUACAUGUUACUUUUGUUAUUGAGCAGGAUGGCUUUGUUUUAAGGGAAAAGGAAACCUUUUUCUUGAUGUUUUGAUUCUCGCUUCAGUGAGAAACACUCAGGUUUUGAAAAGGUAAGCUGGCCGAAAACUGGCUACAGCGAGAAAGGUACUGUAGCUUCUCGCUGCAGCGAGAAAAUUUCUAUUUUAUGACCAAAAUCUCUCGGUAGGGAAAAACUUUCUGUUUUUCACCUCAUUUUGAUCAAUUGUUGCCCUAUUUUCCACUUUUUUGCUACCAUAUUUGAGCAUGGAUUUCCAACAUUAAGGAAUAAGUGAAUCAAGCUUAAUAUGAGGAGGUUUGGUGAGAAACCCUCGACUAGUCAAGAAACCCUUGGUUAGUUGAUAAUUGAAAUCAAGUGUCGUUACAGUAAAAAUUCAUUCUCGCUGUAACAUAGCUGCAGCGAGAAUGCCUUUCCGCUAGCGAAGACCCGUCGUCUAAUUAACUUGAUUUGCAUGAAUGCUAUUAAAGUUUUCGCUCUCUAAAUCUUUUGUUGAGCAUGGACUUUUUUCCAAUAAGUGAUUUUUCUCAUGUGGGGUUUACAUGAGGGGUUUAAUAAGAUCAAAAACAAAUUGCAUUGUUUUGAAAAAGAAUGCAUCAUGAUUUCGUUAAAUAUUCCUUAUGGUAUGUUUGUUCCCAUUCUUGUUCACUCACUAGGUUUAUACUCACCGUUUUCAACGUCUUGUUUUCAGAUCACGAGGCAGCCGGUAACUAGGACGAGGUGUCCUUGUAGACUUGUAUCCAUCUUUUGGUAGGUGUCUCGGCAUUUAGUAGCUGUACAUUCGUCCGAGUCCCUCCGCUGGAAGUCAAGUAUUCUUUUGUUGUGUAUAGACAAACCUAAUGUAAUUAUUAAGAUACAUGUUGUAGAUAAUGUAUAUGCACUUGUUUGGUAUGCCAGUAUGAGAUGGC